rnacentral:lncRNA from 1 species
CAUUGAUGAGAUUUUAACUAGUACAUAACUACAUAUUACAGUACAGAAACCCAACAUGUUCUCCCUCCCUUCACAUGGAAUUACUACGAGGAGAACUGAAAUUUAAGUUUAUAAUAAAGUACUUAAAAGUAAUAUUUUAUAUAUGAUCAUCCCAAGCAGAUACAAUAUUUUCCUUUAGACCCCGUUGCACAUGUCGCACUUUGGUAUUUGUCCUUCAAGAUUUUCUUGCAUGCUGCUAUACAUGCAGGCAGUGUACAUGGAUUUAUAUUAACUCCAAAAGCACUCUCCACCUUAAUUGGAUCACAAAUAAUUAAGGCCAUAAUCACCAUCAUUAGCACUAAUUCACUGUUCCUUAAUCCCUUUGCUUCCAUUUCUAACUAGUACUAAUUGCUUUCUCUUUUCUUUUAU